rnacentral:rRNA from 1 species
UACGUAGGGCGCAAGCGUUUGUCCGGAAUUAUUGGGCGUAAAGAGCUCGUAGGCGGUUUGUCGCGUCGGGAGUGAAAUCCACUGGCUUAACUGGUGGCUUGCUUUCGAUACGGGCAGACUAGAGUGCUGUAGGGGAGACUGGAAUUCCUGGUGUAGCGGUGAAAUGCGCAGAUAUCAGGAGGAACACCGGUGGCGAAGGCGGGUCUCUGGGCAGUAACUGACGCUGAGGAGCGAAAGCGUGGGGAGCGAACAGG